CCUUCCUCUAAUUUUCUCUUAAUUCUCUUCUUAGGCUCUUGUCUUAAAGGAGACAGACUUGUCUUAAUUUUAAGAUAAUAUCUUAACAAGAGAAGGAAGGGAAUAGGACAGGUAGAGUUGGAAUGCCUUAACCCCAUCUGCCACCACCUAUAUAUUGCAAUAGAAGGGGCACAAGAGAGUCCAGAUACACCCAUUCAUGCAUCCCUUUAAUCAG
rnacentral:lncRNA from 1 species